UAUAUAUAUAUAUAUAUUUAUUUAUUUAUUAUAUAUAAUUUUAUAUUUAAUUUUUUUUUAUGUUUACAAUUUUAACUUAGAUCUUAAAAUAAAAAAAUUAAACAAAUUUGUUCAAAAUAUUUGAUAAAUUACGCAAAUUUUCCGACGCGAAGCGCGAGCCUUCACUAGUUUUACUUAAUGAUUACCUUAUCUUGGUAAGGGCCUAAUUUGGAUCUUGUCCAU
rnacentral:lncRNA from 1 species